GGAAAUGUGCCUGAAAUUAAAGGGCCACUUUGAUAGAGUGGAUUAUGGAGAUUAGAACCCUCCCACUUCCU
rnacentral:tRNA from 1 species